rnacentral:rRNA from 1 species
CGUCCCCGAACGGCGGAUCACUUGGCUCGUGGAUCGAUGAAGACCGCAGCUAUCUGCGCGUCGUCGUGUAAUCCGCAGGUUAUACGAACAUCGACCAGUCGAACGCACAUUGCGGCCUCGGUGACCCGCGGGCCCCGGGCCACGCCUGUCUGAGGGUCGUA